rnacentral:tRNA from 1 species
UAGCUCAGCUGGAAGAGCACCACAAUGGCAUUGUGGGGGUCAGGGGUUCGAACCCCCU